rnacentral:lncRNA from 1 species
CCUUUUGGAGGUGAAACAGGCUCUCCUUUUGAAGGUGGUGGAUUGGGUUUAGGCUGUGAAGGCUGUUCACCUCUGGGUGGUGGACACGGCUUGCCUUUAGAUGGUGGUGGACGCUCACCCUUUUGAGGUGGCUCAGAUUUAGGAGGUUGUGAUGGUGGCGGACGCUGCUGGCCUUUAGAUGGCGGUGGACCCUCUCCCUUUUGGGGUGGCUGUGAUGGUGGAGGACACGGCUUGCCUGUAGAUGGCGGUGGACGCUGGCCUUUUUGGGGUGGCUGUGAUGGUGGCGAAGGCUGCUGGCCUUUAGAUGGCGGUGGACGUUCACCCUUUUGGGGUGGCUGUGAGGGUGAAGGACACGGCUUGCCUGUAGAUGGCGGUGGAUGCUCACCCUUUUGGGGUGGCUGCGAUGGUGGAUGACACGGCUUGCCUUUAGACGGCCGUGGACGCUCACCCUUUUGGGGUGGCUGCGAUGGUGGAGGACACGGCUUGCCUUUAGACGGCGGUGGACGCUCACCUUUUUGGGGUGGUUCAGAUUUAGGAGGCUGUGGUGUUUGCUGCUUACAGCCGGCACAUUGAUGAUGAUCGUUAUUAUUUUCAUCCAUUGAACUUAGGUUUUUGGGUUGAUCAUGGGAGAGGGAUGGGAUGACAAAAACCGUCAAAGCAAUGAAGAAGUAAAGCAGCAGCUUCAUGUAUGGAGUAGACAUUUUUGCACUACAAUGGGUUGCAGAAGGUGUGAUAUAUGUUGGCAAUUUAUAGCUGUUGAAGGUUGUGUGAAAUUGUAAUAUGCUUCAACUCAUAUUUGUUUGAUUCAAGCAAUGUUAAGGUCAUUUGGUUUGUUCAUUCAUAUACGUGUAACCUUUCUUCAGCCAAAUGGCAAUGCAAAUCUAUGUGCAUGCUUUUCUUUCUCUCCUCUCUUGUCCUAAAUGAAGAAUUUACCAUUUUAAGGAGUAUUUUAGUGCUUUCAUUGUAAACUUUUUUUCCUCUUUACUCAUUUUUUUCUGCAUAUAAAUACUUUCCUUUGCUGCAAUUAGCUCAAACGAAAGGCAAAAAAAUAUACAGGAAAUAUACUUUUUUAUUUAAUAUUAUUCAGUUCAAGCAACAUAUUCAGCUAAGCAAAAGCAGCACAAACAACACAAUCCACAAAUUUUAUUUAAGUGGUGGCAUUAUAUACUCUAAGCCCUUAUUUUCACACACGUACCAUGAGACUAUAAUCUUCAUGAUAAGAUAUAAAUACAGGGACCGACAUGAUUAUUUGUUAUCAAUACAUAAAUGGUGGAGCAGAGAUAGGUGUUGGAUAGCUUCGACAUGCAAUUAACACUUUCUAUCCCUCGGAAACUUUACAACACCAGAACAUGGCUGUUUCUGCAACGGAAAUAAUAACUGGUUACCAAAAGAUAACGUUUUUCUUCCAGAAUUAGAGGGAGGCCUUCCACGCGGUGGCCUUCUUGGUGGAAUUCUUGGUGGCCUUCUUGGUGGUAAGAGUUGAGCAUCAAGCGAAGGGGUUAAAGAAAGAAUCAAAGCUCCAACGAGGAACAAUACUAGCAAGUGCUUGAGACUGAGACUCAUUUUUUGAGCUAUUAAUUAGUGAUCUGCAGAAACUUGAGAACUGGAGUGGCCAUUUAUGGUGGAUUGCAGGACUAAUUCGUCAAACCACGGGCCUUUGGAUAGUUGACAUCUGUGUUCAUUAGUCUAAUCACUUUUUGAAACGAUGUAGAAAGCCUGAAAGUUAAUUAGCCACUCCUCCCGAGGGAAAACAAGUGGCCAUUAGGCGAGUACAGCUUAAUCAGUUGGUAGCAAUGUGUGUAGUAUGUCCAUUUUGUCUUCAUUGGUCGAAAAGCUUGACAAUUUUCAUUAAUCACUAUUCCAAAUUUCUUUUAAGAUAAAGUUAAGUAAGUUAAUGCAGUUGUGCUAGGAAGAAAGUAGAGGAACCUAUAAAAGAAAUCUGGUCUAAUUACCUUCUUGAAGCGGUGUGGAGAGUAUUGAAAAUCAAUUAGCUACUCCUUUCCUCCCCAAGGAAAAUAAACAUUGUGACAUGACUACUAGUAAGACUUGGUUUACAUUUGACAAAAAAAAAUUAAUGAAAUAUUAAGUAAAUUUAUUAUUAUUCUCUUGUUUAGCUACGCUAUAAAAACUUAACUGAAAAAUAUUUAGAAUUAUUUAGAAAUUAGUAAAAUAAAUUUAAAAAAAGGCAUAAAAAUGAUUAAUUGAUAGUUAUCCUGAUGGUAAAGGUUGGUGGUAGCCAUUGACUAAUAAUUGAUGGUAAUUACCCGUGAUCAACAAUUUAAUAUAAAUAUAUGUUUUUAAAACUAUAAUAAGUUUGUAUUACAAGAAUCCAGCUAUUUUUUAAUAAUAAUAAAUUUAUAUUUACUGAUAAAAAAAUUAUAAUAAAUUUAUUAAUAUUCGAAAAAUAUUUUUCUUUUUUUUUUUAGAAGAAAAAUGUUUUUGUAAAAAAAAAAGUUAUUUUUUUUCUUAAAUAGUAUAAUUUUCCUUUCCUAUGGAAAAUAUUUCUUAUUCAUUGAUAUUUUUUUUACACUUCAAAUGUCAGAAAAUAUGUUUAGAUAACUUAUAUAUUAAAAAAAUAAUUAAAAAAAAGGACGCAGCCCUCAAUUUCAUUAGUAAUUUGAACGGUUAUGAUUCCCUACACGACUUCUGCGUUGUUGGAUCACGUUUCUUUCAUUGUCUCUUGCCAUUUUGUGUGGCCCGCUGACUUCAUUGAUUAUAUAUAUAUAUGUAUAUAUGUCGUGCCCUACGAUAUUGAAGGAGCAAUAGGCACGUGUAUUCUAACAUCGAAGAAGCUUUCUACGUUGGACCAUAAAUUUCUCGCCACGUCGUCAAGUACACCUAAAACUACAAAAGGAGAUGACGACAAAAUGGGAUCCUAUGUUUUGACCCAAUGCAGGUGUCAAAGAUCUAUUGGGUGACGUGUGACAGCCGAUAGAUACUUGUUCUUGGGCAACUAAUGUCAUUGGCUGGAUUUUUUACUCAUUUAUAUUUUUUAUAAAUAAAAUAAUAGAUUUUUUAAAUUGAUAUUUGGUGGUGUCAGUUUUUUUUUUUAAUUUUAUUGUGAAAUCUCUUAAUUACCCCUCCCAACAUCUAUCAACAGCUAUAUAACGGCUAGUUUUAAGAGUAUUUUUGAAAAAAUAAUUUUUUGGAUUUAUUACAAAUUAAGUUCAAGCUCUUUUUUUUUUUUUAAUUAUGUUCAAAUUUUUUUAAACAAAAAAUAAAUUCAGUUGAAGAUUUUUUUAAAAAAAAUAAUUAAGUUCAAGUUUUUUAAAAAAAUAAAUUUAAUUGACGCAUUUUUUUAUUUUUUAGAUGUAUUUUUUUUUUAGAAAUAACUUUCACAAAUUUUUAAAAUUUUGAAAACCGGUCUUCAAAAUUUAAAAUUUAAAAUUAUACGAUUCGCUGGAAAACAGAUCGAAACCGUCGGUUUUGAAACCGUUAAAGAACCAGAACCGAAACCAUUCGGUUCCAAACCAAAACCAAAAAUUUUGGGUUUGGUUCCGGUUCCAAAAAAUUUAGAACCGGAACCGCCGGUUCGAAACUGUAGCCACUCUUAUAUAUAUAUAUAUAUUUUUCCAUACACGUGUCACCAAAUUCUGGCACAAACAAUAUCUCUAAAUCAAGUUUCUCAAUAAUCUAAACUCUAAAUUUUAGUACACUCAACAGAGUAAUCAAAAUUUUCAAAUUAAGAAUUUGAAAAUUAAUAGUAUGAACUUACAAAUAAAUGAUUGAGUAUAUCAAUUAUGGAAUUCAAAGUGUCAAUUUGUAAAUGAACUUCAUAAACUUUAAAGUAUCGAAGUGAUGAACUGUAAGUUGCGAUUUAAUUGACAAUAUAAUCUAGAUACGUGUGAAGAAUUCUCAUAUUCAAUAUGAAAAAAAAGGCAAAGAAUUUUAAUUAUGUGUAAGCUUCAAAUUAAAUUAGCCUUACAUAAUAAUAAAAUUCAAAUAUCAGUGUUUUAAAAAAUUUAUUGAAGUGAUAAAAUAAAGGUUAACAAGUCGCAAUUAUUAAAAAUCAGUUGCAAAAGUAAAAGCGAGUGGAGCUUUGGGUUUCACAUAGUUGAAAAGUUUGACAAUUUUCAUUACUUACAAUUUUAUAUUUCUUCAGACACAAAAUUAAGUUAUCCAUAGCAGCACAUGUUUGUAUUUUAACAUGCUGGUUUAUGAGCCAAUAGGUUCCUGAUUUGAACUGAUUUAUGAAAUAUCUAUUGGGGUUUAAUUUGAGAUUUAACUUGUACCAUAUAUUAACUUUCAAGUGCGGGAUGAUUAAGCCAACAAGGUCAAGUGGUAGCUGCAUGUUAAUCCAUUAUGCUUUCUUGUCACCAUUCAAAUUAAUCACGUUAUUUAGACCUAAUUUACAUAUACUACCUUUUUCCAUGCAAAAGCAUGCAUGUACGUAUUAUUAUUAUUAUAUGUGUAUAAUUUGGAUAUUGAUAGACUUGGAAGUUUAUGAACUUCUACUUUAAUUUAUCCAUUGCUAUUGUUUAUAAAUCUAGCUUAAUUAUUAUGAAUAUUAAUUUUUAGUACGCCUACAUAUGAUAUUAAUUAAUUGUUAUCAUUAGGAUUUUUAAUUUGGGACUUUGUUUGGAAAGGAGAGGAAAGAAAAUAAUAGUGGAAGGAAAAUAAAAAGGAAAAAUAAUGAAGUACUAUUGUUUUCUUUUCUUAGUCAAUUUCCACUCUUUCGUUUGAAUGGAAAGGGGAAAAAAAAAAAAGGAGAAAUAAUGGAUUUAUUCCACAUUAAACAACAUGUAAUUUUUCAAUUCAUUCAUCAUUUCCUCUCUAAUUUAAAAUUUCUGUAGAAUGGAGAGGAAAAAAAAUACAUAUUUUCAUUCUUUCACCCUUUUUAAACAAAGAAAAUUCCUUUCCCUUGAUAUGUUAUAUAUAUAUAUAAUGUUUUUUUCUUUGGGUUACAAAAGGAAAGAGACAAAGAAACCUAUCUCAAAAAGUUAAUAUAUAUAAAGAGAAAAUCUCCUUCUCCAAACAAAGCAUUAAUAUAAGUUCAUACCAAUAUUGAUGUAAUGAGAGUCAUUACAGAAGGAAAGUUAAUCAUAUUUUGUAACUUGGGGUGCUUCGAUCCAUUUUUAACUUCAUUAAAGAAGAAUAUCAAGGGAGAGGGCAAGUACAUUAAAGAUGAUUACCUUUUCUUUUAUUUUCUUCUUCCCUUAUUUUGGCAAAUUUUGCAUGCAUCAUCUCUUGGCAAAUGAAAUUGUCAGUAUAGUAAUAUUUUUCUGACCUUCAAAUCAGUUAACUGAAAUGAAGUAAUAUAUGUAUGUACGUAUGUAUGUAUGAAACCCAAAAUAGUCAAAGUUCAAACAAAUCAAUACUUUAGUUGGCUUUACUAUUCAAUUUAUAUAUGGCCACGAAUAUGCAAAGCUGCAACUAGUAAUUAACUUCCAACGUCCAUGGAAUCAAAAUUUACUGUUUUGUCAUUUUCAUUAAGGAUGGUGAUUAUAUUCAUUAUCUCACUAUUGUAAAUCAUUAAUUGGAUUUUUAAUUAUCUUAACAUUUAGUCAUUCCAAUUAGAUUAGAUAUAAUAUUAAUUUGCACAAAAGAGGAAAGAAAAGAAAGAAAAGGUGAUUUCGUAAACUAGAAAACAUGCAUGGUUUAUAAUACUGGCAACGUAAGGUAAACAUACAUUGGAAGAGCAUACUAAUAUAGAGUAAUGCUCAUAAGCCACAACCCAAUACAUAAAAGCAACUGACUAAACAUAUCCAAGUAAGAGACAGUUUAUUGCUAUCUAGCUAUGUAUAUAUAUAACCAUGCAUAGUAGUGAAGCACUCAGUUGGCUGAUGGAGGUUUGUAGGGUGACUUCAACUUCCGUGGUGGCUUCUCUCCUUUGCCUUUAGGAGGAUCUUGGGGUGGUUUGCGUUCUGGGAAUGGUUUUCCUCCUUUACCGUUAUCAGCCUCCAUCAAAAUGUGCCCAGGGAGAGGAUCAUGUGGAGGCUUAUGCUCUGGGGGUGGUCUCUCACCAUGUUCCUUUGGAGGUUGCUGUGGCUCUUCAUGUUCAUGGGGUGGUUUAUGUUCCGGCAGUGGCUUCUCUCCUUUGCCUUUAGGAGGCUCUUGGGGUGGUUUGCGUUCUGGGAAUGGUUUUCCUCCUCUACCCUCAUCAUCCUCCAUCAAAAUGUGUCCAGGGCGAGGAUCAUGAGGAGGCUUAUACUCUUUGGGGGGUUUCUCACCAUGUUCCUUUGGAGGUUGCUGUGGCUCUUCAUGUUCAUGGGGUGGUUUAUGUUCCGGCAGUGGCUUCUCUCCUUUACCCUUAGGAGGCUCCUGGGGUGGUUUAUGCUCUGGAAAUGGCUUUCCUCCUUUACCUUCAUCAUCCUCCAUCAAAAUGUGUCCAGGGUGAGGAUCAUGAGGAGGCUUAUCCUCUUUGGGUGGUUUCUCACCAUGUUCCUUUGGAGGUUGUUGUGGUCCUUCAUGUUCUGGAGGUGGUUUCUCUCCCUUACCCUUAGGAGGCUCUUGGGGUGGUUCGUGUUCUAGAGGUGGCUUCUCUCCCUUACCUUUAGGAAGCUCUUGGGGUGGUUUCUCACCAUGUUCCUUUGGAGGUUGUUGUGGUCCUUCAUGUUCAUGGGGUGGUUCAUGUUCUGGAGGUGGCUUCUCUCCCUUACCCUUAGGAGGCUCUUGGGGUGGCUUCUCUCCCUGACCUUUAGGAGGCUCUUGCUGCGGUUUAUGCUCUGGGAAUGGUUUCCCUCCUCUACCCUCAUCAUCCUCUAUCAAAAUGUGUCCAGGAUGAGGAUCAUGUGGAGGUUUCUGCUCCGGUGGUGGCUUUUCACCCUUUCCUCUAGGUGGCUCUUGUGGCUCCUCAUGUUCAGGAGGUGGUUUAUCGCCUUUACCCCUAGGAGGCUCAUGAGGUGGUUCUUGUUCUGGAGGUGGCUUCUUGGGAGGCCCGUGUGGGCCCUCAUGGGAUGGUUCAGGUUCAUGCCUAGGCCUGGGAUCGCCACCAGCCUGAAACUGAUCAGCAAGUGAGGGUGUUGUGGUGCUGAUGACCACAACUCCCAGGAAAAACAAGACUAGCAAGUAUUUAGGAUACAUGUUGGCUUCGAGCUUUAGUGAUGCAAAACUUGUGAGGAUCGAGUGGCCUUUUAUAGCAGAUCAUUGGGGCCUACGUUACAUUACUACGUCUGUCAUGUUCCAUAGUGAGGUCCAUUCAUGAGUCCAACUGCGUUGAAAAAUGUGACAAAAAUGUUUUUUAGUAAUAUUUAUUUAUAUUUUUCAAAGAAUAUAAAGUUUGAAGCUCUUUCUCCACUGAGAGGUCAAAUAAUUUCUGUGGUAGCAUUAUCAUGCUUGCUUCUUAUUGGCUAGAAUUGCGUCUGGACUUUUAGCUUUCCAUUUCACACCGGAUCUCAAACGGAUAAAUUAUUGUUGGCAGAAAGCAUAUGCAGUAGGAAAUAGGAAAUAGCGUGAGUAUUAUAAAAGUUGAAUUGACCUUUUUGUCUUUUUCUUUUUCAUCCCAUAGGCUUCGAUUACGUGAUGGAAAUAAGUUUGUUUUUUCCCCACUUUCCGUCAAAUAUUUUACCACUAGGAAAGUGUAGAUGGGCAUGGAUAAAAAUUUUAUAAUGCAUUUCUCCAUGAAAAGAAUUUUAUAUGCAUGAAUUCCCUACUGUGGGCUAUCAACUAGUUUUUUCUUUCUUUCUUUUUUUUUUUUUUAAAUUGGUAGCUAAAUGCAUAAAUACAUUUUUAUAUUUUAUAAAAAAAAUUCAUUAAAUAUUUUAAUUUAUAAAACUAUGCCGAUUAAAUAUUUCAACUAAUAAAAUUUUUCAAUUGAAUAUUUCAACUUGUAAAAUUUAAUAUAUUAAAUAUUUAUUAAAUAGUUAAAAUAUGUGAAAGUUAUUAUCCCAAAAUUAUAAUAAAAAUACAUAAAAUUAAUUUUUUUUUUUACUUAUAGACUUUAAAAUGCAAAAAACUAUUAUUGUUGGUGUAGAAAAAUAUGAAAAUAUAUUAAAAUUCAUAACUUUAAAUACAUAAUAGAUCCUUACAAAAUUAGAGAUAUCGCAGGAUUUUUUAUUAUUGAAGUACAAGAAUAUAUUUAACCGUUAACAAUUAUUCUUACAUGAAUAACCACAUUAAAUGGAUUUAGUUCACUUUGCGGUAUAUGAACUAACUUACUUUUUCGGGGAAAAAAACUAACUUAUAAGUAUUUAUUAUAUGAGUAAGACAAGUAUAAUAAUAUAGAAAUUAAUUUCAUAGGGUGAAUGUAAUAAUUCAUUACGUAAUAUAUAGAUAAUAGCUUACUAAUCCAAGUCUUUGAUAGCUAUUGAUGAAUUCAUAAUUAUACAGGACAUAAUAAUUUUUGAUUUUUACUAAAAGUUAAUAAGUCAAAAAAAAUUUAUUUUCCAUAAUAAUUCACUAAUUUCAACUAAAAUUAUAAAUAAGAGUAAAUUGAUAAAUUAUGAAAUAAAACUUCAUUAAUAUAAUUUUUUUUAAGUUUCGUGUGAAAAUUGAACUGAAUAAUUAUUUUUAGAUUUAUAGGAUAUAUAUUAAACUUUUGAAAACGUAGUCUCAGGUGAUAUAUUUCGUGGUUGAAGUUGAAAAUUUUGACAAAUUCUUUUCUUGUUCUUUUUCAAACGAUUUUUUCUUCUUUUUCUUUUUUUUUUUCAACUGAGGAUGACAUGGUAUUGUGAAAAAAAAAAAGCAGACUGCUAAACAAAACUAACGACGGGGAUGAGAAUGACAACAAGAGAACUAGAUGCAGUGAAUAGCUCGCGAUGGAGACAAACAUCGAUUGAGAAAUAUAUUUUGUCCCCACGAAGUCGAAAAUUUUGACAAAUUGCCAACUCCCAUUUCUUUAGCAUUGUCAACUUUCUGGCUACUUUCCUUUAGUUGUUUCGAGAUUUAGAAAUUAAUUCCAUUAUUAGUAAUUUCGUUUCCGAGUUUUUGAAUCACAAAAUUUUAAUAAAAUAAUUUUAUAAGUUAAAGUAUUUAAUAAUGAAAAUUUUAUAAAUUGAAAUAUUUAAUAAAUCAAAUUAAAAAUUAAAAUUGUCACAAUAAUUUUAUAAAAAUUACAGAGUAACUUUAUGUAUUUAGUCGGAUAUAUUUAUUUAAAAAAAAUAUUCUGCAUGUUAUUUUUAGUUGGUUAAGAAAACAGUUUUUGUAAUAUUUGGACAAAAUGCAAAAUCAGAAACAAAGAUCUUUCACCAACAGUUUUCAUGAAAUCAAAUUGAUAGAUCAACACCAAAAAUUGUGUUGGUGAAUGAGAGCUAUAAUUAAUAAUUUAUCACAGAGCGUGUGAAUCCAAGCAAGAAUUUGGACAUAGAAAUCGGCCAUGGCGAACACAAUAAUGUCCAAGAAAGUACCAAAAAGCAAACAAAUUAACGAAAGGACGAGAGUUGAAAAGGUUGAAUUUCAUCCACCGGGAUUUCUUUUAUUUAUAUGUUUUUCUGUUUUUAUUUCACAAUAACGUACAGAGCAGAGACAGUGACUACCCACGUGCCAUGUUUGCUCUGUACAUGAUAUAUAUCUUGUGAUGGAUAUGAAUGUACCUUUGGGAAAAGUUUCUGCGUCUUUACAUGUUUGUCAACCUGCUAAAAUUGUCGGUCACAUUCAGAAUUGUGGAACUAAUACAUACCAAAAACAAAGCAUCCCCUUAAUAUUUUUAUCUUCUUUUUACAUUUAACGUGUUUUUAAUUUUAGUUGUCAAAUAAUUAAUUAUAGACAAAAUAAGCCUAAUUUAUAAUAGUCUUUUUUUUCUGAAAUCUAAUUUACAGUAAUCUAAUACAUAUAAAAAAAUUAAUAAAUUAUAAAUUAUUCUAAUAGGCCUGCCUAAUCAAAAAAGCAAAACUACCUUUGGAUUGGAAGAUUGUCUUCUAUCGAUGCAGAAAUGCAAUUAUUUUUAUUAUUAGUAUUAUUUUUUAAUGCAAAGUGAUGGAAGAAUGCUCACAUACUUUGACUCCACAGGACCACAUUAGUACCGCCUCGACAGGUAAUCACUCGAUUUAAUUUUUUCCAUGAUUUGGUGUAACUACCGCGGAUCUUUCCUUUUUUUUUUUUCUUGGUUUGAUUAUAUUUUGCUGAUUAAAUAUAUUUGACAUAAUAAAAAGAAUUAGUGUUUUUUCAUAGGAAAAACAGAUAAAAUGUUUUAAAAAAAAUAUAUAUUUUUUAAAAAAAUUAAAUAUGAGCUUCGUGUUUAAUCUAUCUUUUAUACAAAAAAAAAAUCAGAAACUAAUUCACAAAAAUGGAAAAACAUCAAAUUAAUAGUAAAAUAUAUUCUAUAUAAUAUAAGAUAUCUUAAUCUAUAAGUAAUUCUCUUUCUCAAAAAAAAAAAAAAANNNNNNNNNNNNAUAUAUAUAUAUAUAUAUAUAUAUAUUUUGUACAUGCUUAAAUUAAUUAAAGCUUGAGGGUGAGUGCAUAUGUAACCGUCCACAAGGACUCCAGUCCAAAUUGUCAUUCUCCUAGUGCAAAGUGGAGGAAAUAAAAUUGCACGUGAUAUUGUACAACAUAUACUCUGAUGUGUUACUAUUUUCCUUUUCCGACAUCUGAAUAUCAUCACGUGGUAAUCAUUUAAAACAAUUCUUACAAAAAAUUUAAUUAUGUUCUAUUAAGAAAUUCUACAAUCAAAUUAUUUUGUGAUAGAAUUUAGGUUGUAAUAGAAAAGAAGAAUAGGAUAUUAAUUAGGCGAUUGUUAUAAAUUUGGAAGUAAUAAAAUUUAUUUCUAUUGUUUGUAAUAAUUAAAAAAAAAAUCAGAUAACUUAUUUAACUUACUAUUUUUAAUAGUACCAUUGAAAUUUCUUUUUCUUUGUUUUAAAAAAAAUAUUGAAUUUUCUGUUUAAUCCAAUAGGUAAUAUUUUUUUUUAUAUAUAAAAGAAUUUAACUAUUCCAUAAUAUGUUAUGGAGUAUUAGUGAUUAAAUUAAAUUCUGUGGAAUUAAAUCUUUACAUUUCUUCAAAUUGCUAAUGGACUUAUUAACGAGUCAAUAAUUUAUUAUCAGCAAUAUCGGAAUAAGGAUUCAAUCCUGUUGAUGCCUUCUGUACGUGAUAGUUGCAUUGUGACUGGGUUCUUUUGAUCGUCAAAUUGCCACGCAUUAUAUAAUAAAGGAAAGAUAUAAAACCAUAAAAGAGUAACACUCAUUAUAUAUAUAACAGUAUUCAACAUAAGAACAACCAACUAGGGGCCGGUGCUCAGAUGGUACGUACAAGCCAAAAUACAAACACUAAAAGAACAGAAGACUAAACCUCCGUUUCUUAUUCCCAACAUUUUAUCUAUUAAUGCUGGUCAGUAACCAGACACUUGAUUAAUUAGUUCUCAGUUGGAGGCUUGUGCGGUGGCUUUUGGGGCGGCUUAUGGGGUGGCAGGUGUUUUAAUGGUGGUUUCUCUCCCUUUCCUUUAUAUGAAUCCUCAACUAACUCUUCCUCAGCCAAAAGAUGUCCAUGUGGUGGCUUGUGGGGUGGCUUGUGUUUUGGUACUGGUUUCUGUCCCUUUCCUUUAUAUGAAUCCUCGGCUAGCUCUUCCUCAGCCAAAAGAUGUCCAUGUGGCGGCUUAUGCUUUGGUGGUGGCUUAUUACCCUUAUGUGAGUCCUCUACAACCUCUGUAGCUAAAAGACGUCUGAGGGGUGGUUUGUGCUCUGGUGGUGGCUUGUGCGGUGGUUUGUGCUCGGAUGAUGGCUUUUGAGGUGGAAAAUUCUUAGGAGGUGGUUUCUCUCCCUUACCCUUAAAUGGCGGUUUUUGGAAGUCCUCUACGCUAUCCUCGCUUAAUAGGUGCCCAUGUGGUGGCUUGUGUGGUGGUUUGUGCUCUGGUGUUGGCUUUUGAGGUGGAAAAUUCUUAGGUGGUGGCUUUUGAGGUGGAAAAUUCUUAGGAGGUGGGUUCUCUCCCUUACCCUUAAAUGGUGGUUUUUGGAAGUCCUCUUCGCUAUCCUCACUUAAUAGGUGACCAUGUGGUGGCUUGUGUGGGGGGUUGUGCUCUGGGGGUGGCUUUUGAGGUGGGAAAUUCUUAGGUGGUGGCUUUUGAGGUGGAAAAUUCUUAGGAGGUGGGUUCUCUCCCUUACCCUUAAAUGGUGGUUUUUGGAAGUCCUCUUCGCUAUCCUCACUUAAUAGGUGACCAUGUGGUGGCUUGUGUGGUGGGUUGUGGUCUGGUGUUGGCUUUUGAGGUGGAAAAUUCUUAGGAGGUGGUUUCUCUCCCUUACCCUUGUAAGGUGGAUCAUGGACAUCCUCUACAUUAUCCUCACUUAACAGAUGACCAUGUGGUGGCUUGUGCUGUGAGUGGUGGUGAUCAUAAUGAUCAGCUAAUGAAGAAGAAAUGGAGAGAAUCACGACUGCUCCAAUAAGGAGCAACACUCGCAAGUUUUUAGAAGAGAACAUGUUUGA